GUUUUCUUAAAAGUACUUGGUGGACUACCUAAUGAAGACAGCAGGGACUUCUCUAAGGGUUGUUAUGAUAAUUCUAGGUGAAGCAUUGGCAACACUUUAUGGCUGUCCUAGCCUCUCAAAGAAGGUUCGUAAGAGAAACCUCUGGACAGCAUUGAGGUGAAUCAUGACAACGCACAGUAAAGCCUUUCCCAGACCAAUGACCUCACAUUUUCACUUCUAGAUAUCUCUUCUGCAGAAACAACUGGCUCAUGUCUCCGGGAUUCACAUACCAGGAACCUCACUGCAGCUGUGGCUUCAUUAGCAAUACACAGGGAAUCUCCAGAAUGUCCAAAGACUGACCAGUAGUUACAUAUUUAUUGUGGUACCUGUGCAUCCACUGACAAAACAUCUAAGUUUUAUGGAUCAGUAUGGAGACAAUGUCACCACCCAAGGUUAAAUGAAGAGGGAAAAUUCAAAACAGUGUCAUUAAUAAAUGGAGUAAAUAUAAACCUAGUGUUAUGCACAUUGCCAAUUCCCCAUGAUGGAUGUAAUCAUUACAUACUGCAAAAUUGUACCAAUAAAAAUAAAUGGGAACCU
rnacentral:lncRNA from 1 species